UACGGGGGGUGCAAGCGUUAUUCGGAAUCAUUGGGCGUAAAGGGCGCGUAGGCGGUCUCUUAUGUCAGAUGUGAAAGCCCUCGGCUUAACCGAGGAAGUGCAUUUGAAACUGAGAGACUUGAGUAUGGGAGAGGGAAGCGGAAUUCCUGGUGUAGCGGUGAAAUGCGUAGAUAUCAGGAGGAACACCGGUGGCGAAGGCGGCUUCCUGGACCAAUACUGACGCUGAGGCGAGAAGGCGUGGGGAGCAAACAGG
rnacentral:rRNA from 1 species